CUUAUAGGCUAUCUAAAAUUUUCUCUAAAAUAUUAUAUUCCCUCCAACACAUUUAGCUCUCCCCCUAAUAUCUAAUUUGCCAGAAAAAAUUCAUAAAGUAAAUGUGCAAAAGCUCAACUCACAAAUAUUUGUCUCAUAAGCUCAAAAAUUGAUUCCUCGUAAGCUCGGUCUGCCCAAAUCCCUAAGUUCAACUCUCUGUUCAAAUCUCUUCAAUCUUUCUCACAUUUUGUAUAUGGGAGGUUUGAAGCUUCAAUCUCUGCCCAAAUCCCUUACUCAUUUUAUCUCUUUAUUUAGGUAUUCAAUCAUUUGUAUCCAUUCAAGACGGUAUGAAAGAAUGUUAUUAGGUACACCAAGAGUGAAGUGCCUAGCAAGAAGUGGGUCACCUAUUAAGAGUUUGUUUUGUAGGAAGAAGAAUAACAAUAGGCAUCUUGCUUCAUCGACACUCAGGAUUUGGCCAUACCUCUACUUCUCCUGCUCAGUGAUUGUGGAUUGAUCAAGAGUCGACUUGAAGUGUAGGUGCUUAUGCUUCACAUGGAAUGGCUCAAGAAGCUUUGUCAAUCUUUGAUAAGAUAAGAAGUAAUGGCAUCCACUCUGACGUGGUGUCUUAUACCUCUUUACUCAAUUCUUAUGGGAGGUCGGAACAACCUGAAAAGGUCAUAAAAAGGAGACAAGGGAGGUGUGCUCCUCUGCGUUAUGUGCUUACACCAAGCAGGCAAGUACUUCAACAUAAUUUUUCUUCUAAGUACAAAACAAAAACUGACCAGGCUCUCUACCUCCUUCUCAGAAUAAAAUUCUCAAGGCAGAAUCUAUGUUUCCGAUGAUGAAAAUGAAAGGUUUUCAGCCCGAUGUCAUUGCGUAAACAACAAUAUUGAUUAAUGUAAUCUUUGUUCCACACGUUGACUAACAAGGGUACAAUCUAAAACUGUAUAGGUAAAGUAUUCUCGACUCUCUUUUGUUAAAAUUUAAAUUUGCAUCUAUAUUUUUGUGUUGUAACUUCUUUAUUAGUAUGCAGAGUAAGUAAAAACUGCCUUUGAAAUUGGCGUGGUGGUUCCAAAGAGUUUUGGAAAUAAUAAGAAUGAAAAUUUGCUUAUCUAUUAUAUAUUUUGUCCAUACUUCUUUGUCUUCGACAUGUCUUGAAAACUUGAGUCUUACAAACUACUAGCUUCAUUUCAGCAUCCUUAGAUAAGUAAUUGAACUUCUUUAGUCUUACAUUUUUUAUUUUAUUUUUUUUGAGAUUUGCCGUGCCCAAUUCUCAAAUAGGAACAGUGCUAUUUCUUGAACAAUCUUGAAUGUAAAUAGAUUUAAUAAUUAAAAGAUAUGUGGCUUGAGUUUAAAAAUCGAUAUCAUGUGAAGAAAAAUUAUAUUUGUCUUACAUAUUAUUCAAUUUGAUCUGUAGUGAAACAAAAUAUUAACAAGUAUCUGAAAAAAAUAACCAUGAUCCUUCUAGUGCUAUGGUCAAAGGUGUCUAUCAAUGUAUAAAUUAUGAUCUGUUUAUAGACCUAUUUGAUAAUUGAUUAUAUAUUAAGAAAAAUUAUCUAAUGAGAAGGAGAGGUAGCACAAAGCGAGAAAAGGAAGUUACUUAAGACUUAAGAUGUAGUGUCAACUAUGAGUAAACAGAUUAUUAGAGAAAAUUUUCUACUAAGCAUUAGCUUUCUAGAAUCUUGGAUGUUUUUUCUAUGAUUCAUACAUGCAUUUAAACAGUAAAAGAACCUUUAACACCUACUUCUGUUUCAAGAAUGUUAUUAUAAUUUGUAGCAACUGUAUUUUACAUACAUAAUUAUGACAUGUAAGGAUUUGGUGAUUAUUGCAUUACAGUUAAUAUCUUGUGCUUACUUAUUUGUCUUAUUUAUUAUGUGUGUUCUAUAGGAAAAUGUGUUGGCUAAAUCCUAAAUGAAGACCCUUGAUUGUCGCAAGCAUAUGGAAGCAGCAGUAGAGUACAUCUAAAAAUAUUUUUGCUCUUUUCCUCUUCCUAAGUAGCCGAGACAAAGUUGGAUAGAAAUACGUUUGCUUGAUUGCUUAAGUUACAUAAUUUUCUUCUUCUAAGGUUUAUUGAGGGUGAAGUUGAUUUUGAUUACUCCACCCUCAAUAUCUGUUAGCAUUUCAUGUUACUGACUGAAUAAUCUGACUUUGUGACUGUCAAGUGACUUAUCUUAGUAAACAGCUAUUACAGAAAUUCCCUUUCGCUGAUCCUUUUUUCUGUUUUUUUUUUCUUAUGAGAUUUUGGAUGAGUUCUACAUGAACGCCAUAUCUCAUUUGCACAACAGAUAUGAUAAGAUAUGUUUUGUCUCUAAAAAGAUUUCUCUUGGCUGUUUUUUUUUUUUUUUUUUUUUAAUUUUAUAUAUGAAAUUAUGUAUAUUUAGCUCUUUCUUUUCAUCUGGGAUUGCUAUUAUAAUUCUUCUCCAGUUUGCAGUAGAGUUGCAGUUGAAGACUCAUAUCAAUAAUAAUCUUUAAAUUCUCUUCAGUUUACCGGUGUGUGCGAAUUGAACAGAAUUGUGAGUUGAAUAAUAGUUGAAUGGAUACUUCAAAAUGCCAUGUCUUUUGAUCCCAAUGCAUAUGCAUCAAGCAAUGUAUACCAAUCAUUUUGCUAUGCCAUAUACAAUUGUGUUAUGUUAUACCUAUUUUCGAGUUGUGUUUGCGUCAAAUCAGUUUGUUUUGCAUUGAACGUGAUUUUUUUCUAACUUUUAAUUUUAUUUUGAAUGUGUAGGAAAAUAUCGGUUGUCGAAUUUGAAUGGUGGCCACAAGUCAACUCGACCUAUUAAAGUGACUGAUAAAUAAUUUUUGAACUUUUUUGAUAUAUGUUUGAAUACAUAUUAUUUUAUGUAAUGAAAUUUAUAUUUAGUACAAAUAUAAGAAUAUGUUAGUACAUUUUAAUACACUGUUAUUUACAAAAUUUGUUGCAAAUGAUCAAUACAUUUGAAUGUGUGUAUAUAUAUCAUUAUUUUCUAUUUAUACAAUAUUGCCACACUUUAAAACUGUGGCUAGUGUGGCUAUAGCAAGGUCAACUGUGCAUGUACAUAAGAAAAGGUUACACUUUUAUAAGUAUUGUAGAAGGGGUAUAAAAAGCUACACUUUGGUCUAACAAAGCUAAGGCCACACUUUCCAAAUGUAGGAUUAUCAAAUAAAAGUGUUGACUUUUUAAGUGUAGCUAUUGCCACACCUAAAAAGGGAAAAACUACCUAAAAAACAACUUAAGUUUCAAAACUAUUAAAAAUCCCUCCACUUUAAAAAUAUUACUUAUAUCCCAACAUUUACUACUUUUACUAAAAGUUGAGAUACAAGUUAAAGGCCCCUCAUCAUACGCCCUAUCUUUACCAAAUCAAGAACGGCUUCUUCCACCAUCUACACCAUUAAUUCAGGGGUUGAUUUCAAUUCCUUUUUUUCCUCUAAUUCAAAAUUUUGAAUUAAGAUAAAUUUUUCCCAUA